rnacentral:rRNA from 1 species
AGUGAACGCUGGCGGUAGGCCUAACACAUGCAAGUCGAACGGCAGCACAGUAAGAGCUUGCUCUUACGGGUGGCGAGUGGCGGACGGGUGAGGAAUACAUCGGAAUCUACUUUUUCGUGGGGGAUACGUAGGGAAACUUACGCUAAUACCGCAUACGACCUACGGGUGAAAGCAGGGGGUCUUCGGACCUUGCGCGAUUGAAUGAGCCGAUGUCGGAUUAGCUAGUUGGCGGGGUAAAGGCCCACCAAGGCGACGAUCCGUAGCUGGUCUGAGAGGAUGAUCAGCCACACUGGAACUGAGACACGGACCAGACGCCUACGGGAGGCAGCAGUGGGGAAUAUUGGACAAUGGGCGCAAGCCUGAUCCAGCCAUACCGCGUGGGUGAAGAAGGCCUUCGGGUUGUAAAGACCUUUUGUUGGGAAAGAAAAGCAGCAGGUUAAUACCCCGCUGUUCUGACGGUACCCAAAGAAUAAGCACCGGCUAACUUCGUG